rnacentral:rRNA from 1 species
UGCAAGCCGAGCGGUAGGGUUUCUUCGGAAACCUGAGAGCGGCGCACGGGUGCGGAACACGUGUGCAACCUACCUUUAUCAGGGGGAUAGCCUUUCGAAAGGAAGAUUAAUACCCCAUAAUAUAUUAGAUGGCAUCAUUUGAUAUUGAAAACUCCGGUGGAUAGAGAUGGGCACGCGCAAGAUUAGAUAGUUGGUGAGGUAACGGCUCACCAAGUCAGUGAUCUUUAGGGGGCCUGAGAGGGUGAUCCCCCACACUGGUACUGAGACACGGACCAGACUCCUACGGGAGGCAGCAGUGAGGAAUAUUGGACAAUGGGUGAGAGCCUGAUCCAGCCAUCCCGCGUGAAGGAUGACGGCCCUAUGGGUUGUAAACUUCUUUUGUAUAGGGAUAAACCUUUCCACGUGUGGAAAGCUGAAGGUACUAUACGAAUAAGCACCGGCUAACUCCGUGCCAGCAGCCGCGGUAAUACGGAGGGUGCAAGCGUUAUCCGGAUUUAUUGGGUUUAAAGGGUCCGUAGGCGGACUCGUAAGUCAGUGGUGAAAUCUCAUAGCUUAACUAUGAAACUGCCAUUGAUACUGCGGGUCUUGAGUAAGGUAGAGGUAGCUGGAAUAAGUAGUGUAGCGGUGAAAUGCAUAGAUAUUACUUAGAACACCAAUUGCGAAGGCAGGUUACCAUGUCUUAACUGACGCUGAUGGACG